AUCCAUAUGACAACUCCCAAAUAGAACGAAACGCGCGUCCUGGAU
rfam:Schistosoma mattheei strain Denwood, Zambia genome assembly, scaffold: SMTD_scaffold0007628